rnacentral:rRNA from 1 species
GAUGAACGCUAGCUACAGGCUUAACACAUGCAAGUCGAGGGGAAACGACAUCGAAAGCUUGCUUUUGAUGGGCGUCGACCGGCGCACGGGUGAGUAACGCGUAUCCAACCUGCCCAUCACUUGGGAAUAACCUUGCGAAAGUAAGACUAAUACCCAAUGAUAUCCCACGAAGGCAUCGGAAUGGGAUUAAAGAUUUAUCGGUGAUGGAUGGGGAUGCGUCUGAUUAGCUUGUUGGCGGGGUAACGGCCCACCAAGGCAACGAUCAGUAGGGGUUCUGAGAGGAAGGGCCCCCACAUUGGAACUGAGACACGGUCCAAACUCCUACGGGAGGCAGCAGUGAGGAAUAUUGGUCAAUGGGCGAGAGCCUGAACCAGCCAAGUAGCGUGCAGGAAGACGGCCCUAUGGGUUGUAAACUGCUUUUAUAAGGGAAUAAAGUGGGUCACGUGUGACUUUUUGCAUGUACCUUAUGAAUAAGGACCGGCUAAUUCCGUG